AGCUCCUCUGUGCUGUGGUAUAACAUGUUCCUUGGAGCCAGCCUGGGCAACAAGGCAAAGGGACGACUCCGAAAUUCCCCCGUCUCUCUGCUGUUUUGACAGCAGCUGGAUCCUGUGGAAAUCCCAAGCUGGUCCAAACACCAAAGCACGCCCUGCA
rnacentral:lncRNA from 1 species